AGAGUUUGAUCCUGGCUCAGGAUGAACGCUGGCGGCGUGCUUAACACAUGCAAGUCGAACGAUGAACCUCACUUGUGGGGGGAUUAGUGGCGAACGGGUGAGUAACACGUGAGUAACCUGCCCUUGACUCUGGGAUAAGCCUGGGAAACUGGGUCUAAUACCGGAUAUGACUCCUCAUCGCAUGGUGGGGGGUGGAAAGCUUUUUGUGGUUUUGGAUGGACUCGCGGCCUAUCAGCUUGUUGGUGAGGUAAUGGCUCACCAAGGCGACGACGGGUAGCCGGCCUGAGAGGGUGACCGGCCACACUGGGACUGAGACACGGCCCAGACUCCUACGGGAGGCAGCAGUGGGGAAUAUUGCACAAUGGGCGAAAGCCUGAUGCAGCGACGCCGCGUGAGGGAUGACGGCCUUCGGGUUGUAAACCUCUUUCAGUAGGGAAGAAGCGAAAGUGACGGUA
rnacentral:rRNA from 1 species